GCUUUACUGUAGCCUGGAAUUGGGUCCGGGCUUGGCUUGCGCAGGAUAGGUGGGAGGCAUUGAAUCACUCCUUGUGGGGANGUGAGGAGCCAACGGUGAGAUACCACUCUGGCGAAGCUAGGAUUCUAACCGAUUUCCGUAAUNNNCCGGAAACGAGACAGUUUCAGGUGGGCAGUUUGACUGGGGCGGUCGCCUCCUAAAAGGUAACGGAGGCGCACAAAGGUUCCCUCAGCACGCUUGGAAACCGUGCGUAGAGUGUAAAGGCAAUAAGGGAGCUUGACUGCAAGACCAACAAGUCGNAGCAGGGUGGAAACACNGGUCUUAGUGAUCCGACGGCACANGCGUGGAAUGGCCGUCGCUCAACGGAUAAAAGUUA
rnacentral:rRNA from 1 species